CCAUCGGUCCUCCGUGGAGAGAGGAGAGGCGGAGGAGAGGGAGGCAGAGCGAGGAGACGGCUGGAGAUGAAACCAUGAGACUCGGGACCAGCCAUUCCAGCCACGCUCAGUGUCAGGUCCUCCGUUAUGCAACCCCUGUUCUGGUGGAACCUGCCGUGUUGCUGAUCCUUGGCUAACCUGCCAGGCUGGAGGUUACCUCCCGGGUUCUCCCCUGGAUCUCUGUGAUGAUUCCUGGAUCUACCAUGACCUUUCAGACAGUUUCCUCCAUGACUGGCAACUACAAGCUCUCCAUUAACUAAAGGAUGAUUUCAAUACAAAGCAACUGUUGAAGCUUAUUGAUUCCUUUGUUCGAAGUAUAUUUCCUUUAUAUUUCAAUAAACCUGUUAAACUUUGACCAGUGUCUCCUGAGAGUUCUCUUACAUGUGGGUCAGCAGUGGGACAUCUUGAGGAGACCAGAAUUGACGGUUUCAGUACUUGAAGCCAUUCAGACCCUGAAUCUGUAAAGCAGCUUCUUACAUCACACUGCCCUAACAUGUUUGAUUGUCAGUAUGAUCUUCCUUUAAUUGAAAUGUUUAAUGAGUUUUAAACCAGAUGUUACGGAAAACACACAUACAAAAAUAUUCUACUUUUGUCUUAUCUGUUCACAGAAUAUUCUCCCUCAAAAGUUGUGGAAUGUCAAAUUGUUUUGUUUUUUUUGGCAAAUGUGAGACAGACUCUGGUCUCCUGUUUUCUCAGCAGUGGAUUUGGCUUUGCAAAUCUCCCACGGAUGCCAAAAUGGUCCUAUUCAUUCUUAUUAAUAUAAGAAAGAGUAAUAUCAAUGAGAAAUUUAUAUAAUUAAGAGUUAUUGAUAUUUGACAAU